rnacentral:lncRNA from 1 species
CCUGCCUCUCAAUUUUGCUGUGAAUCUAAAAUUACUCUAAAAAAUAGUCUUUUAAAAAAUGCUAAUCUCCUCAGUUCCUAUAUACCAACACAGAGCUUUGUCCUUUUUUACAAGGUAGAGGCUGAGGUGGGAGGAUCACUUGAGCCCAAGUAGUUUGAGACCAGCCUAGGCAACAUAGUGAGACCCCAUCUCUACCAAAAAAAAAAAAAAACUGGGACAAGAUUCUAAAACCAGCUCACACUUCAGGCUGGUAACCCAUGCUUUUGCUGCCUGUGGAAGUUCAGCCUUGAGGCCCUGAAGCCGACUCCACAAACAGCUCAGCUGCUCCCCUACAGUGCUCAUUGCUUUAUGCUGCAAUAACAGCCACUCCUUUCUCUGGUUUGGGUCCAACAAACAAUCCUUCCCUUCU